CAGCAGCCGCGGGAAAACGUAGGGGGCAAGCGUUAUCCGGAAUAACUGGGCGUAAAGGGUGCGCAGGUGGUUUAACAAGUUAGUGGUGAAAGGCAUAGGCUCAACCAAUGUAAGCCAUUAAAACUGGUUAACUUGAGUGCAGGAGAGGAAAGUGGAAUUCCUAGUGUAGCGGUGAAAUGCGUAGAUAUUAGGAGGAAUACCAGUGGCGAAGGCGACUUUCUGGACUGCAACUGACACUGAGGCACGAAAGCGUGGGGAGCAAACAGGAUUAGAUACCCCGGUAGUCCCUGUCUCUUAUACC
rnacentral:rRNA from 1 species